UUCAAGACUAGAUUUCCCUGAACCUUCGGGUUCUUUAAGAGCCGUUCAAGACUAGGACGUUGAUAGGCAGGGUGUGUAAGCGCUGUAAGGCGUUGAGCUAACCUGUACUAAUUGCUCGAUUGGCUUGACCUUAUUACAUCAA
rnacentral:rRNA from 1 species